CCUUGCGUGAGCAGCUGCUUAUUGAAGAGGUGAGGCCGGCCCUGAAGUUCAGGAUAAGCCCUAAAGGUUUCUGAUGUGGGUGGUUGUGAUGAAUGAGAUCACCCAACACAGCAUGUGACAGAGUUAGAGAUGGUCAAUAAAAGUUCAAAAGUUCCAUGCCUGUACUAUGGCAGCCCCGGCCAGUAUCCAUCCUCAAAGUCCUGC